rnacentral:rRNA from 1 species
UACGGGGGGGGUAAGCGUUGUUCGGAAUUACUGGGCGUAAAGGGCUCGUAGGCGGCCAACUAAGUCAUACGUGAAAUCCCUCAGCUUAACUGGGGAACUGCGUGUGAUACUGGAUGGCUUGGAUGUGGGAGAGGGAUGCGGAAUUCCAGGUGUAGCGGUGAAAUGCGUAGAGAUGUGGAGGAACACCGAUGGCGAAGGCAGCCUCCUGGGCCAGCACUGACGCUCAUGCACGAAAGCGUGGGGAGCAAACAGG